rnacentral:rRNA from 1 species
AUUGAACGCUGGCGGAAUGCUUUACACAUGCAAGUCGAACGGCAGCACGGGGGCAACCCUGGUGGCGAGUGGCGAACGGGUGAGUAAUACAUCGGAACGUGCCCAGUCGUGGGGGAUAACGUAGCGAAAGCUACGCUAAUACCGCAUACGAUCUAUGGAUGAAAGCGGGGGACCGUAAGGCCUCGCGCGAUUGGAGCGGCCGAUGGCAGAUUAGGUAGUUGGUGGGGUAAAGGCUCACCAAGCCUGCGAUCUGUAGCUGGUCUGAGAGGACGACCAGCCACACUGGGACUGAGACACGGCCCAGACUCCUACGGGAGGCAGCAGUGGGGAAUUUUGGACAAUGGGCGCAAGCCUGAUCCAGCCAUUCCGCGUGCAGGAUGAAGGCCUUCGGGUUGUAAACUGCUUUUGUACGGAACGAAAAGGCUCUUUCUAAUACAAAGAGCUCAUGACGGUACCGUAAGAAUAAGCACCGGCUAACUACGUGCCAGCAGCCGCAGUAAAAC